GCCUAUUUAAAUUUAGGGCUAACCCGUCUCUGUGGCAAAAGAGUGGGAAGAGCUCCGGGUAGAAGUGACAGACCUACCGAACCUGGUGAUAGCUGGUUGCCUGAGAAAUGGAUAGAAGUUCAGCCUCGCACACCCCAAAUCAAAAACAUAACAUCAAGACAAUAAGGGAAAUAUACGAGAGUUAGUUAAAGGGGGUACAGCCCCUCUAACAAAGGAUACAACCUUUACAGGAGGAUAAAGAUCAUAAUAUAUAAAACAUACUGUUUUAGUGGGCCUAAAAGCAGCCAUCUAAAUAGAAAGCGUUAAAGCUCAGACAGAAAAAAGUUUAUUAUACUGAUAAAAAAAUCUUAUUCCCCUAACAAUAUCAGGCUAACCCAUGCCCACAUGGAAGAAAUUAUGCUAAAAUGAGUAACAAGAAGACCUGCUCUUCUCCAAGCACAAGUGUAAACCAGAUCGGACAAACCACUGGAAAUUAACGAACCCAACCCAAGAGAGUAAUGUGAAUAACAAAAAAACCAAGAAAACCCCACAAUUAAACAAUCGUUAACCCCACACUGGAGUGCUAUUUUUAAAGGAAAGACUAAAAGAAAGGGAAGGAACUCGGCAAACACAAGCCUCGCCUGUUUACCAAAAACAUCGCCUCCUGCAAUCAAACUCAGUAUAGGAGGUCCAGCCUGCCCAGUGACUACGGGUUCAACGGCCGCGGUAUUUUGACCGUGCAAAGGUAGCGCAAUCACUUGUCUUUUAAAUAGAGACCUGUAUGAAUGGCUAAACGAGGGCUUAACUGUCUCCCCCUUCAAGUCAGUGAAAUUGAUCUAUCCGUGCAGAAGCGGGUAUAACCAUACAAGACGAGAAGACCCUUUGGAGCUUAAGGUACAAAAUUCAAUCACGUUAAGCAACUCAAUAAAAAGCAAAAACUUAGUGAAAAAUGAAAUUUUACCUUCGGUUGGGGCGACCACGGAGGAAAAACAAGCCUCCGAGUGGAAUGGGCCAAAUCCCUAAAACUAAGAGAAACAUCUCUAAGCCACAGAACAUCUGACCAAAAAUGAUCCGGCUAAUAAGUCGAUCAACGAACCAAGUUACCCUAGGGAUAACAGCGCAAUCCUCUCCCAGAGUCCAUAUCGACGAGGGGGUUUACGACCUCGAUGUUGGAUCAGGACAUCCUAAUGGUGCAGCCGCUAUUAAGGGUUCGUUUGUUCAACGAUUAAAGUCCUACGUGAUCUGAGUUCA
rnacentral:rRNA from 2 species